rnacentral:rRNA from 1 species
AACGAACGCUGGCGGCAUGCCUAACACAUGCAAGUCGAACGAGACCUUCGGGCCUAGUGGCGCACGGGUGCGUAACGCGUGGGAAUCUACCCUUGGGUUCGGAAUAACAGUUAGAAAUGACUGCUAAUACCGGAUGAUGACGUAAGUCCAAAGAUUUAUCGCCCAAGGAUGAGCCCGCGUAAGAUUAGCUUGUUGGUGGGGUAAUGGCCUACCAAGGCGACGAUCUUUAGCUGGUCUGAGAGGAUGAUCAGCCACACUGGGACUGAGACACGGCCCAGACGCCUACGGGAGGCAGCAGUGGGGAAUAUUGGACAAUGGGCGAAAGCCUGAUCCAGCAAUGCCGCGUGAGUGAUGAAGGCCUUAGGGUUGUAAAGCUCUUUUACCAGGGAUGAUAAUGACAGUACCUGGAGAAUAAGCUCCGGCUAACUCCGUGCCAGCAGCCGCGGUAA